UGGAAAUAAUUUGAACUAGCUGAUUUUUAGAAAAGUGUAUUUUGCCACGCAAACCUAUUAUAACUUUUAGAUAAGUUAAAAGUUUUGAUUAAGCAGCAUACAAAAAUACCAUAAUGUUUACUGAUGUGCAUUUAGCUGUUCUAUCCAAUGCCCUAGGAAUAGUACUAUUUCUUCUAGUUGUCUUGUAUCACUAUGUAAAUUCCAACAACCUAAGGCAGAGUACUUAAGUCGAUAAUUAAUAUGAAAAUAAUACAAAUGUGCUUAAUGCAAAUCUUUAUUUAAUAUAUGGAGCUUUUUAUAAUUUAAA